UUUCAGCACAAUGUUGAAAAGCAGCGCUGAGAGGGGAUAUCUUUGUCUUGUUCCUGAUCUUGAGCCUUGAAAGAAAUCAGAAGAGAUUCUGAGGAGGUAGCUAAGGAAUCCCAGAUCACCUAAGAGUUUGGAAAGAAGAAAGAGGGCAUGGCACACCCAGGGGAAUGACGCCUCUGCACCCCAGCCUGGCCUCACAAGCACUGUAGUGGUUAUAUACGAGGCUCUGGGGGCUUUCUGCUGGAAUCCUCCUCCUGCUCUGCCAUGACCAGUUGUGAUUCUGGGCAAUUUACUUAGUCUCUGUCAGCCUUCCCCAUCCACUGGAGGAGAGAUAGUUUUAACUCAUGUCACUGUGAUAACUGCACUGAUGACAUCAGGUAUUUGACACAAAGUAAGCAUUCAAUAAACAUGCCUUUUUUUUGUUGUGGUAAAAUAGACAUAAUAAAAUUUAUAAUUUUGGCCAUUUUUAAGGGUAUGGUUCAGUGGCAUUAAGUACAUUCACAUUGCUGUGCAACCAUCACUACCCUCCAUCUCCAGAACAUUUUCAUCAUCUCCAACUGAAACUUUAUUCUUUUUUUCAAUCCAUUAGCUGGAUUUAGUCACGUUUAUAAAUUUCUUUAUAUGGUGUCUAACACGUUAACUAUAACAUCAGGAAACACAGGAUCCCAUUUUAGCUUUUGGAUUUUAUUUUUGAGCAAUUUAUUUGUAGGGAUUGAUAUUACAUUGCUUUUACUUUUUCUUAGAGGUCUUCCAAAUAACAAGAGAAAAUUUACUAUUUAAAAAAUAGAAUAAAAGUCAAUCUUGCAAUUUUUGUAAAUCCAAGC
rnacentral:lncRNA from 1 species